AUGCACAAGCGUGCACACAUCCCGCCUGCGCUUUGCCUCCAAUCCGUGGUCCAAGUCGCCCCAGGGGCACGGCUCCAGCGGCGGAGGGAAAUAAAGAGCAGACAAAUUCUCCCCAACGAGCAUGGUCUCCAUCUGUGGUGCCCGGACGGGGAGAGACCCAGGCCCGGCCUCUGCCUCCCUGGGCCGCCUCUUUCUCUGUCCCCCCGCCCCGCAGAUCUCACUCCUGAGGCCUCCAUCUCAACCUGCGAGGGGCAGAGGGAGGAGGGACACAGCAGACUCCCAUGUCCCCACUCCCCACCAGCCGUCCCCACUGCCCAGGAGCCGUCUCCACUCCCCAGGAGCUGUCCCCACUGCCCAGGAGCCGUCCCCACUGCCCAGGAGCCAUCCCCACUGCCCCGGGAGCCAUCCCCACUGCCCAGGAGCCGUCCCCACUGCCCAGGAGCCGUCCCCACUGCCCAGGAGCCAUCCCCACUGCCCCAGGAGCCAUCCCCACUGCCCAGGAGCUGUCCCCACUGCCCAGGAGCUGUCCCCACUGCCCCAGGAGCCGUCCCCACUCUCCAGGAGCCAUCCCCACUCCCCAGGAGCCAUCCCCACUGCCCAGGAGCCAUCCCCACUGCCCAGGAGCUGUCCCCACUCCUCACCAGCCGUCCCCACUGCCCACCAGCUGUCCCCACUGCCCACCAGCCGUCCCCACUGCCCCAGGAGCCGUCCCCACUCUCCCAGGAGCCAUCCCCACUGCCCAGGAGCCAUCCCCACUGCCCCAGGAGCCGUCCCAUUGCCCCAGGAGCCGUCCCCACUGCCCCAGGAGCUGUCCCCCCUGCCCACCAGCCGUCCUCACUGCCCCAGGAGCCGCUGUUAGCAGGAAGCAGUUUGUGCCCACAGUGGGGACCAGCUGCUCUCUGGCUGGGCUGGCUUCUGGCCUCUCAGGGGAGGCAGAUGGAGGGAGGCUGGCCUUCUCCUUUAAGAGCAUCCUUCCCGCUCCAUCCCCAGAGGCUCCUAACCCAGAACAAAGACUCAGAAAGAGCCUACAGGGCCCCCCUCCGUUCCCCACCCCCUGCUUCCCCUCCCCCUGUGGGGGCAGCUCGGGUUCCAUCCUUUCCCCACCCUAGUCUGACUGGUUGCUGGGUCCUCUCCAGCUUGGCAGGACCAGCCCCUCCCAGGAAAGGGGGUAAAACUGCAGGUGGGUGUGGAUGGGAUGUGGCUGGGGCUGGAGCAGGGGAUGGCCUGGGGCGGGGGGGGGGGGGGGGGGCUGUGGGGUGCUGGCCCCAGCUGGGCUUUCUGGGCCAGAUGUGA
rnacentral:lncRNA from 1 species